GUUCCCCAGUUUUCUUCCACCCCUUGAAAACAUGCCACAUAAUGAUUAACUAAUGGUCUGACUUGUGAGACU